UACAAGGUGGUAACUGGUAGAGAAGGUGAAGGAUAACGUUGCGUCAGCAACGGCCCGAAGGGCGAGGCGAAGCCGAGUCAUCCUGCACGACCCACCA
rnacentral:sRNA from 2 species